rnacentral:rRNA from 1 species
GGAUAGCGGAGAAAUUCCAAUCGAACUCGGAGAUAGCUGGUUCUCCUCGAAAUAGUUUUAGGACUAGCCUUGUUUCGUAGCAUUUGGGGGUAGAGCACUGAAUGAGGUAGGGGCCAACACGGUUACUGAACUCUAUCAAACUACGAAUACCAAAUGUGUAAGAACAAGAGUCAGACUGCGGGAGCUAAGUUCCGUGGUCAAAAGGGAAAGAGCCCAGAUCGUCAAUUAAGGUCCCAAAGAUAUAGUUAAGUGGAAAACGAUGUGAUUUUGCGUAAACAACCAGGAUGUUGGCUUAGAAGCAGCCAUUCAUUCAAAGAGUGCGUAAUAGCUCACUGGUCGAGUGAAGUUGCGCGGAAAAUUACCGGGGCUAAACUAUACACCGAAAUUGCGGAUUUGCAUAGAAAUAUGUAAGUGGUAGAGGAGCAUUCUAUAGUAGGACGAAGCAUAAUCGAAAGGAUAUGUGGACGAGAUAGAAGAGAGAAUGCCGGAAUAAGUAGCGAAAGCAUGGUGAGAAUCCAUGCCAUCGAAAGUCUAAGGUUUCCUGGGGAAGGUUCGUCCGCCCAGGGUAAGUCGGGACCUAAGGAGAGGCCGAAAAGCGUAUCCGAUGGACAGCAGGUAGAAAUUCCUGCACUACGUAAUACUUAAAAGACAUAAAUGACACAGGAGUGGAAGAUAAGCGAGGAAGAGGAAAGACUCGUAUCGAAAGAUAUAGUGAAAAUUAAAGUAACGAAUUAUCAAGAAGCUAAUGGCGAGAAAAGUUUAUGGAUAUUGUAUUAAGUACCCGUACCGCAAACCGACACAGGUAGAUGAGGAGAAGAUCCUAAGAUGAGCGAGAGAAGCAUUGUUAAGGAACUCGGCAAACUGACCCCGUAACUUCGGAAUAAGGGGUGCUGGAGUAAAAUCCAGUCGCAGAGAAUAGUCCCAAGCAACUGUUUAACAAAAACACAGGUUUCUGCUAAAUCGAAAGAUGAAGUAUAGGAGCUGACACCUGCCCAGUGCUGGAAGGUUAAGGGAAAGAGUUAGACGCAAGUCGAAGCUUAGAACUAAAGCCCCAGUGAACGGCGGCCGUAACUAUAACGGUCCUAAGGUAGCGAAAUUCCUUGUCAGGUAAGUUCUGACCCGCACGAAAGGCGUAAUGAUUUGGGCACUGUCUCGACAAUGUACCCGGCGAAAUUGUAGUACUAGUGAAGAUGCUAGUUACCUGCGACAAGACAGAAAGACCCCAUGGAGCUUUACUGCAGCUUGAUACUGGGUUUCGGUAAUUUAUGUACAGGAUAGGUGGGAUGCUAAGAAGUAUGUGCGCCAGCGCAUAUGGAGCAGACGUUGGGAUACCACCCUUAAAUUACUGGAAUUCUAACUAUAAGUCCUAAGCGGGCUUGAGGACAAUGUCAGGCGGGCAGUUUGACUGGGGCGGUCGCCUCCUAAAGAGUAACGGAGGCGCGCAAAGGUUUCCUCAGCGCGGACAGAAAUCGCGCGAAAGAGUGCAAAGGCAGAAGGAAGCUUAACUGAGAGACAGACAUGUCGACCAGAUACGAAAGUAGGUCUUAGUGAUCCGGUGGUUGUAAGUGGAAAUGCCAUCGCUCAACGGACAAAAGUUACCCUGGGGAUAACAGGCUUAUCUCCCCCAAGAGUUCACAUCGACGGGGAGGUUUGGCACCUCGAUGUCGGCUCAUCGCAUCCUGGAGCGGAAGUACGUUCCAAGGGUUGGGCUGUUCGCCCAUUAAAGCGGUACGCGAGCUGGGUUCAGAACGUCGUGAGACAGUUCGGUCCCUAU